rnacentral:tRNA from 1 species
GCCGGCGUAGCUCAGUGGUAGAGCAAUGGUUUCGUAAACCAUAGGUCGGUGGUUCGACCCCACUCGCCGGCU